GAGGAUGGCGGCAGCUACACAUGCAGUCGAGCGGAACGAUACCAGCUUGCUGGUAGGCGUCGAGCGGCGGACGGGUGAGUAAUACUUAGGAAUCUACCUAGUAGUGGGGGAUAGCUCGGGGAAACUCGAAUUAAUACCGCAUACGACCUACGGGAGAAAGGGGGCAGUUUACUGCUCUCGCUAUUAGAUGAGCCUAAGUCGGAUUAGCUAGAUGGUGGGGUAAAGGCCUACCAUGGCGACGAUCUGUAGCUGGUCUGAGAGGAUGAUCAGCCACACCGGGACUGAGACACGGCCCGGACUCCUACGGGAGGCAGCAGUGGGGAAUAUUGGACAAUGGGGGAAACCCUGAUCCAGCCAUGCCGCGUGUGUGAAGAAGGCCUUUUGGUUGUAAAGCACUUUAAGCAGUGAAGAAGACUCCUCGGUUAAUACCCGUGGACGAUGACAUUAGCUGCAGAAUAAGCACCGGCUAACUCUGUGCCAGCAGCCGCGGUAAUACAGAGGGUGCAAGCGUUAAUCGGAAUUACUGGGCGUAAAGCGAACGUAGGUGGCUUGAUAAGUCAGAUGUGAAAUCCCCGGGCUUAACCUGGGAACUGCAUCUGAAACUGUUAGGCUAGAGUAGGUGAGAGGAAGGUAGAAUUCCAGGUGUAGCGGUGAAAUGCGUAGAGAUCUGGAGGAAUACCGAUGGCGAAGGCAGCCUUCUGGCAUCAUACUGACACUGAGGCUCGAAAGCGUGGGUAGCAAACAGGAUUAGAUACCCUGGUAGUCCACGCCGUAAACGAUGUCUACUAGUCGUUGGGUCCCUUGAGGACUUAGUGACGCAGCUAACGCAAUAAGUAGACCGCCUGGGGAGUACGGGCCGCAAGGUUAAAACUCAAUGAAUUGACGGGGGCCCGCACAGCGGUGGAGCAUGUGGUUUAUUCGAUGCACGCGAGACCUUACCUGUCUUGACAUAUCUAGAAUCCUGCAGAGAUGCGGGAGUGCCUUCGGGAAUUAAAAAUACAGGUGCUGCAUGGCUGUCGUCAG
rnacentral:rRNA from 1 species